rnacentral:rRNA from 1 species
UACAGAGGUCCCGAGCGUUGUUCGGAUUCACUGGGCGUAAAGGGUGCGUAGGCGGCUUUGCAAGUCUGAUGUGAAAUCUCCGGGCCCAACCCGGAAAUGGCAUUAGAAACUGUGAGGCUGGAGGCUUGGAGGGGGAACUGGAAUGCUCGGUGUAGCAGUGAAAUGCGUAGAGAUCGAGCGGAACACCAGUGGCGAAGGCGAGUUCCUGGACAAGACCUGACGCUGAGGCACGGAAGCCGGGGGAGCAAACAGG